CUUGGAUUGGCACAGCCAUGGAUCUAAAUCCAACAGCAGACACGGUGCUAAAGAACUUCCUCGCCAUCCACUCAGCGGGACGACUCUCCUGCCUAUCCACCAACAAAACCCUGUGGAGAAAAAGUACAAAAGGACGGAUGAAGCCUAAUGACUCCUUUGAACUGCCGACAUCCCCGGCAGAUUGGAUUCGGGAAUGUCAGCCAACUAACCUUUAGUCUCUUUCCCACAUGAAGCAACAGUGAAGGGCACGUAAUACCAAUCUUUCGAUUCAUGUCCCUCUCCUGUAUUCAUAAUCAGGAUAUGCUGGCAUAGUGUGAAAGGAAGGCAAAAAGUGAAGAAGAAGAAACACUGUCAAACUCAUGCUUCACCACGGACACUCAUAGGAUCUUUCUCUGUGCGCCCCUCUGUUUCUCAAUCUUAGCGUCUUAUAAAACUGCCUGAGUUUCUCCUUUGGAUGGGCCAUGCUGUCUUGUGGUGAUUCAAAGGGAAGAAGGGAGAUCAUGCUGGAUCAUGGCAGACCCACCACAGCACAGAGACCUCCCUGCCGAUGAGCAAACACCACGACAAAUGGCAGAGCUAGCUGGACAAUCACUUGCUGAAUGGAAGCUAAUUAGCUGGAGUCUAAUGCCAGUUUACUAACACCUGUAUUAGUGUGCUCGCUCGGCAGGGAGUAAGGGCUGGCCAACAAGUGCUAAUCCCUCAUAAGCCCAAAGUACUCCUCCCAAACAGUGGCAUUAACAUAUACUUCUCAAGCCAGCUGUUGCUAACCUGAACCCAAAAGAGACAGCUUCAACAGUGAUGUGUUGCUAAAGAGGAGGGGAAAGAUC